rnacentral:rRNA from 1 species
GACGAACGCUGGCGGCGUGCCUAAUACAUGCAAGUAGAACGCUGAAGGAGGAGCUUGCUUCUCUGGAUGAGUUGCGAACGGGUGAGUAACGCGUAGGUAACCUGCCUGGUAGCGGGGGAUAACUAUUGGAAACGAUAGCUAAUACCGCAUAAGAGUAGAUGUUGCAUGACAUUUGCUUAAAAGGUGCAAUUGCAUCACUACCAGAUGGACCUGCGUUGUAUUAGCUAGUUGGUGAGGUAACGGCUCACCAAGGCGACGAUACAUAGCCGACCUGAGAGGGUGAUCGGCCCCACUGGGACUGAGACACGGCCCAGACUCCUACGGGAGGCAGCAGUAGGGAAUCUUCGGCAAUGGACGGAAGUCUGACCGAGCAACGCCGCGUGAGUGAAGAAGGUUGUCGGAUCGUAAAGCUCUGUUGUAAGAGAAGAACGAGUGUGAGAGUGGAAAGUUCACACUGUGACGGUAUCUUACCAGAAAGGGACGGCUAACUACGUG